rnacentral:rRNA from 1 species
AACAAACGCUGGCGGCGUGCCUAAUACAUGCAAGUCGAACGGGUAGCAAUACCAGUGGCGCACGGGUGAGGAAUACAUAGAUAAUCUGCCUUCGAGUCGGGGAUAACCAGUCGAAAGAUUGGCUAAUACCGGAUAAGACCACAAGAUCUGCGGAUCAAGGGGUUAAAGGUUUUUCGCUUGAAGAUGAGUCUAUGCGAGAUUAGCUAGUUGGUGAGGUAAUGGCUCACCAAGGCGACGAUCUCUAACUGGUCUUAGAGGAUGAUCAGUCACACUGGAACUGAGACACGGUCCAGACUCCUACGGGAGGCAGCAGUAGGGAAUAUUGCGCAAUGGGGGAAACCCUGACGCAGCGACGCCGCGUGAGUGAUGAAGGCCUUCGGGUCGUAAAGCUCUGUCGUAUGGGAAUAACACAAUGAAUGUACCAUGCAAGAAAGGAUCGGCUAACUUCGUGCCAGCAGCCGCCGCCG